rfam:Ornithorhynchus anatinus chromosome X1, whole genome shotgun sequence.
UGGUUUGAGGUGGACACAUGGUGCAGUGUGAUAGUGGAAUAUGCUGUAUCACGUGUGACCUCCCUCUACUGU